AAACUAGGCAUAGAUACCCUAUUAUUCUAAAGGAGAAAAUUUUAUACUUGAUUAUUAUUUGUUAUGUACUUGAAAUUUAAAGAAUUUGGCGGUAUUUAAGUCUAGUCAGAGGAACCUGCUUCUUAAAACGAUAGUCCACGAAAUAUCUUAUUUUUCUUUGUUUUUCAGUUUGUAUACCUCCAUUAUUAGAUAUAGUUAAGAAAAUUUUAUUUUAAUAUAGAUGAUAAAAUGCUAUAAUAUAUUAGGUCAAGGUGCAGCUAAUAGAAAAAUUGACUGUGGGUUACAUUUUUAUUUAAAAUUCGGAGAAAAGUUUGAAUUUAAGGUUUUUAAUUGGAUUUGAUUGUAAGUCUUGUUUAAUAAGCAAGAUUGAUAUUGAGCUCUUAAAUAUGUACACAUCCCCCGCUCUU
rnacentral:rRNA from 1 species